rnacentral:rRNA from 1 species
GACGAACGCUGGCGGCGUGCUUAACACAUGCAAGUCGAACGGAAAGGCCCUGCUUUUGUGGGGUGCUCGAGUGGCGAACGGGUGAGUAACACGUGAGUAACCUGCCCUUGACUUUGGGAUAACUUCAGGAAACUGGGGCUAAUACCGGAUAGGAGCUCCUGCUGCAUGGUGGGGGUUGGAAAGUUUCGGCGGUUGGGGAUGGACUCGCGGCUUAUCAGCUUGUUGGUGGGGUAGUGGCUUACCAAGGCUUUGACGGGUAGCCGGCCUGAGAGGGUGACCGGAAAAGUGGGGACUGAGGAAGGGCCAGGACACGACGGGAGGGAACAGGGGGGGAGAGUGGCAAAGUGGGCGGAGGCCGAAGCAGGAAAGGCGGGGGGGGGAAGGAGGGCUUCGGGGUGGGAAACGGCUUUCGCGUGGAACGAGGGGUGGGGGACGGAAAUGGGAAAGAAGCAACGGCUAACUACGUG